rnacentral:rRNA from 1 species
UACGUAGGGCGCAAGCGUUGUCCGGAAUUAUUGGGCGUAAAGAGCUCGUAGGCGGUUUGUCGCGUCGAAUGUGAAAACCCGGGGCUCAACCCCGGGCCUGCAUUCGAUACGGGCAGACUAGAGUUCGGUAGGGGAGACUGGAACUCCUGGUGUAGCGGUGAAAUGCGCAGAUAUCAGGAGGAACACCGGUGGCGAAGGCGGGUCUCUGGGCCGAUACUGACGCUGAGGAGCGAAAGCGUGGGGAGCGAACAGG